rnacentral:rRNA from 1 species
GACGAACGCUGGCGGCGUGCUUAACACAUGCAAGUCGAACGAAGUGGCGAACGGGUGAGUAACGCGUAAUCAAACUGCCCUUCAGAGGGGGACAACAGUUGGAAACGACUGCUAAUACCGCAUACUGAAGGAGGGGAUUGCGUCUGAUUAGCUAGGUGGAGGGGUAACGGCCCACCAAGGCGAUGAUACGUAGCCGGUCCGCGGGGGUGAAUGGCCACAUUGGGACUGAGACACGGGCCAGACUCCUACGGGAGGCAGGAGGGGGGAAUCUUCCGCAAUGGACGAAAGUCUGACGGAGCAACGCCGCGGGGGUGAUGACGGCCUUCGGGUUGGAAAGCUCUGUUAAUCGGGACGCGGUACCGGAAUAGAAAGCCACGGCUAACUACGUGCCAGCCGCCGCGGUAAUAC